rnacentral:lncRNA from 1 species
GUUGAUUUAAAGGGAGGGAGGAAAGGGAAGAGGCUUCUAGUUGUGUAAAUCCUCAUUUGAUGAUUACUGGUUGGUAAGGGGUGAGCUCCUAUGUUUGUGAUUUGGGGAUGGCCCCAUGCUAUGCAGCCCACCCAUCUCACUCACUUGGCAACCCGUUAAGUCCUGUAGACAAACAGGCAGAGACACAGAAGCUAAAGAAGAAUGAGGUGGUGGAGAGAGGAAGACAAGGCAAGAACUUGUUAACUUUAAGCAUGAGAAAAAAUACUUCAGUGCAUAUAAAAAUACCCUGUUCUCAAAGUCUGUGAAAAUUAUGAGCUUAAACUACAGGACGGUUAAUCUUUCUGCUUAAAUGCUGGGAGAAGCUCUGUGUCAGGAUGAAUGCUGUAUCCUGGAAUCUGUGUUAUGGAAAACUUUUGCCUGCUGGAAAACUUUAAGGAAUCACAUUGAAACCUGGAUGAGCUCAGUUAAUGAAGGUGACCUCAUGGGAAGGAGCCAUCCGUGUGGAGAGUCCCCCAGCAUGUUGGUGAGGGAUUUCACAGGGAUUACCCAUGGAAGAAACCUCCAGCCCUUUCAGUCAGCAAAACAGGAGUGGUGGGGGGACACUUUAAUCCAUUUCAGCACAGAAAUGGGUAACCAUGUGGUCAAAGGUAACAGCCAGAUGAACUGUUUCACUAGCAAGUUGUGA